rnacentral:rRNA from 1 species
GACGAACGCUGGCGGCGUGCUUAACACAUGCAAGUCGAACGGAAAGGCCCUGCUUUUGUGGGGUGCUCGAGUGGCGAACGGGUGAGUAACACGUGAGUAACCUGCCCUUGACUUUGGGAUAACUUCAGGAAACUGGGGCUAAUACCGGAUAUGAGCUCCUGCUGCAUGGUGGGGGUUGGAAAGUUUCGGCGGUUGGGGAUGGACUCGCGGCUUAUCAGCUUGUUGGUGGGGUAGUGGCUUACCAAGGCUUUGACGGGUAGCCGGCCUGAGAGGGUGACCGGCCACAUUGGGACUGAGAUACGGCCCAGACUCCUACGGGAGGCAGCAGUGGGGAAUAUUGCACAGUGGGCGGGAGCCUGAUGCAGCAACGCCGCGUGCGGGAUGACGGCCUUCGGGUUGUAAACCGCUUUCGCCUGUGACGAAGCGUGAGUGACGGUAAUGGGUAAAGAAGCACCGGCUAACUACGUG